rnacentral:lncRNA from 1 species
GAAAUGGUUGUUUUGGUUGCACAUGGUAUGAUUGUUGGGGUUGCUGGAAAAUUAUUUGUUGUGGUUGUUGGGGAAAUGGUUGUUGUGGUAGUUUGGGGAAUGGUUGUUUCGGUUGCAGAGGGAAUGGUUGUUGUGGUUGCUGCGAGAAUGAUUGUUGUGGUUGCUGCGCAAUUGGUUGUUGGGGCUGCAGAAAUGGUUGUUGUGGUUGCCAGGGGAAUGGUUGUUGUGGUUGCAGGGGAAAUGGUUGUUGAGGCUGGGGAAAUGGUUGUUGUGGUUGCGAGGGGAAUGUUUGUUUGGGCUGAGGAAAAGGUUGUUGUGGUUGCUGGGGGAAUGGUUGUUGUGGUUGCUGGGGUAUUGUUUGUUGUGGUUGCUGGGUGAAUGGUUGUUGUGGUUGGUAGGGAAUUGGUUGUUGGGGCUGGGGAAAUGGUUGUUGUGGUUGCGAGGGGAAUGGUUGUUAGGGCUGAGGAAACGGUUGUUGUGGUUGCUGGAGGAAUGGUUGUUGUGGUUUCUCGGGAAUUAUUUGUUGUGGUUGUUGGGGGAAUGGUUGUUGUGGUUGCUGGAGAAUUGGUUCUUGGGGCUGCGGAAAUGGUUGUUGUGGUUGCCAGGGGGAUGGUUGUUGGGGCCGAGGAAGAGGUUGUUGGGGUGGUUGGGGGAAUGGUUGUUGUGGUUGUAGGGGGGUUGGUAUUUGAUAUUNNNNNNNNNNNNNNNNNNNNNNNNNNNNNNNNNNNNNNNNNNNNNNNNNNNNNNNNNNNNNNNNNNNNNNNNNNNNNNNNNNNNNNNNNNNNNNNNNNNNCCACCCUCUCGUGGGUCUUUGCUUCAUAAAUCAUUAUAAUUCCCAUAAAGAAUUCACAAAAAAAAUUGUCCAAUUCCGAGAACUUUUAUUUAUGCAUAAAAUAUAUUGAAGGUAGUUCCGUAGAAAAGAGCACCAGUGCGGGUUAGUUUUAUUCAAAUCAUGCAAAUUAGAGUCCAAAAAAAGAACAAAAGUGUUUGGAAAAGUAGAUACAUUGGAGACGUAUCAGCCAUCGACAAGGAGGAACACCCUUGUACUAUCAUUAUGCUCUGAUAAUUGUUAUGUCAUGCAGAUGGCUAGGCUGAGGCACUGCAUAUGUAGGGUGAAGAUGGUUUAGAUAUGAAAUCAUGUCCCUCAGGCCCUAGUAGCAAGCAUUAAGCAUGGCAAGGUCACAGGAACAUCAAUCUCAUAACAUAGUGGAUACUAGGGAUCAAGCCAUAUCAAAAUAACUCGAUUACAAGACAAAUAUUAUCCAAUCCAGCUAGCAUACAAAGGAAUUACUCACUCCCGUUGAAGAGCAUCAAGAUGGUGUUGAUAGAGAAGGGUUGGUCAUGACGACAAUGAUGAAUCUCCCUCUCCGGAGCCCCAAACUGACUCCAGAUCAUCCCUCUUGUGGACGAACGGGAGGUGGCAACAGCUCCAUCUCAUAGAACGCAAUGAAAACUUCUCUCCUACUUUUCUCCGGAAAUAAGAAUUUAUAGGAUUGGAAUUAGGGUAUGUGGAGCCACGAGGUGGUCACAAGCCAAGAGGGCGCGCUUAGGGGGGUGGUCGCACCCUGUUUUUCUUGGCACCAACAGNNNNNNNNNNNNNNNNNNNNNNNNNNNNNNNNNNNNNNNNNNNNNNNNNNNNNNNNNNNNNNNNNNNNNNNNNNNNNNNNNNNNNNNNNNNNNNNNNNNNAGAGGCAAGACCUAGAUUAUGUGUGUAGUGUAAAGUAAAAAAAAUGACUCAUCAUUCAUUAUGGAUCAUGACUUACAACCAGAUGAUAUUUGCAAAAAAAACAACUAUGUUGAGCAAUCCAAAAUCACACAAGUAAAGUAGUACCACCAAACACAACAUACCAAACGAUUAGUUGGAUAAUCUUAGGAGUACUUUUUCGAAAAGCAAGGGCAAGGAUGGAAUUAAACCAUACCAUGAUAGCUAUAAAUAAACAUGCACCAUCAUGGUUACCUUCCAUCAUCCAAACUUUACACACCAAGAUCAGAAACAUCUAUUCCAAGCAAGCAAUAGUAACCAAAAAUCCAACAUGAAGACGUUCCUCACCUUUGUCCUCCUUGCCAUGGCGAUGAGCAUCGUCACUACCGCUGGGCAGCUAAACCCUAGCUACCAAGAGUUGCAAUCACCACAACAACCAUUUCUGAAACAACAAUCAUAUCUGCAGCAACCAUAUCCACAACAACCAUAUCUACCGCAGCAACCAUUCCCCACACCCCAACAAUUUUUCCCCUAUCUACCACAGCAAACAUUUCCCCCAUCCCAACAACCAAACCCCCUACAACCACAACAACCAUUCCCCCUGCAACCCCAACCACCACAACAACCUUUUCCUCAGUCCCAACAACCAUUCACCUGGCAACCACAACAACCUUUUUCCCAGCCCCAACAACCAAUUCCCCAGCAACCACAACAACCGUUCCCCUAGCAACCACAACAAAUAAUUCCCCAACAACCACAACAACCAUUCUCCCUGCAACCCCAACAACCACAUCAACCUUUUCCUCGGCCCCAACAACCAUUCCCCUGGCAACCACAACAACCAUUUUCCCGGCCCCACCAACCAAUUCCCCAGGAACCACAACAACCAUUCCCCCAGCAACCACAACAAAUAGUACCCCAGCAACCACAACAACCAUUCCCCCAGCAACCACAACAACCUUNNNNNNNNNNNNNNNNNNNNNNNNNNNNNNNNNNNNNNNNNNNNNNNNNNNNNNNNNNNNNNNNNNNNNNNNNNNNNNNNNNNNNNNNNNNNNNNNNNNNGAGGUGUAAACGAUAGAUGUGAAUAGACCUGGGGGCCGUAGUGUUUACUAGUGGCUUCUCUCAUGAAAGCAAGUAGACGGUGGGUGAACAAAUUACUGUCGAGCAAUUGAUAGAACCGCGCAAAGUCGUGACAAUAUCUAUGCAAUGAUUAUAUCUAUAGGCAUCAUGUCCAAAACAAGUAGACCGAUACUUUCUGCAUCUACUACUAUUACUCCACACAUCGACCGCUAUCCAGCAUGCAACUAGUGUAUUAAGUCCAUAAGAACAGAGUAAUGCCUUAAGCAAGAUGACAUGAUGUAGAGGGAUAAUCUCAAACCAAUGAUAAAAACCCCGUCUUUUUACCCUUGAUGGCAACUACUUGAUGUGUGCCUUGCUACCCCUACUGUCACUGGGAAAGGUCACCACAUGGCAGAACCCAAAACCAAGCACUUCUCCCAUUGCAAGAAUCAUAGAUCUAGUUGGCCAAACAAAACCCAAGACUUCGAGAGACUUACAAGGAUAUCAAAUCAUGCAUAUAAGAAAUCAACAAAUACUCAAAUAUAUAUCAUAGAUAAUCUGAUCACAAAUCCACAAUUCAUCGGAUCUCGACAAACACACCGCCAAAGAAGAUUACAUCGGAUAGAUCUCCAUGAAGAUCAUGGAGAACUUUGUAUUGAAGAUCCAAGAGAGAUAAGAAGCCAUCUAGCUACUAACUACGGAUCUGUAGGUCUGAAGUGAACUACUCAUGAGUCAUUGGAGGGGCGAUGAUGAUGAUGAAGAAGCCCUCCAACUCCANNNNNNNNNNNNNNNNNNNNNNNNNNNNNNNNNNNNNNNNNNNNNNNNNNNNNNNNNNNNNNNNNNNNNNNNNNNNNNNNNNNNNNNNNNNNNNNNNNNNUCACAGGCCCCCUGAUCUUCUUCCGUUCGGGAAAAAAUCAUUUCGGGGAUUUUAUUCCGUUUGGAGUCCGUUCUAAAAUCAGAUCUAAAAAGAGCCAAAAAGACAGAAAAAGAGGAAUUGGCAAUUGGCACUGAAUUAAUAAGUUAGUCCCAAAAAAAUAUAAAAGGUACAUAAAACAUCCAAAGAUGACAAGAUAACAGCAUGAAACCAUCAAAAAUUAUAGAUACGUUUGAGACGUAUCAAGCAUCCCCAAGCUUAACUCCUGCUCGUCCUCGAGUAGGGAAGUGAUAAAGAAUGAAUUUUUGAUGCUUUCNNNNNNNNNNCUUAUGUGACGUGAAAGUUCAGAUCCAUUAGAUUCAAAACAAUAGUUUGCUAUUGACGUGGAAACAAUAAUACUUCAAGCAAACUAGCAAGGUAAUCAUGAACUUUCAAAAUAACAAGGCCAAAAGAAAGUUAUCCCUACAAAAGCAUAUAGUCUGGCUAUGCUCUAUCAUCAUUGCACAACGAAUUUAAAUCAUGCACAACCCCGGUAUUGGCCAAGUAAUUGUUUCACACCUUUACUUUCUCAAACCUUUUCAACUCUCACGCAAUACAUGAGCGUGAGCCAUGGUUUAUAGCACUAUAGAUGGUGUGGAGUGUGGUGGAGGUUGCAAGACAAAAAAGGAGAAGAUAGUCACAUUAACUAGGCAUAUCAAUGAGCUAUGGAGAUGCUCAUAAAUAGAUAUCAAUGUGAAUGAGUAGGGAUUUCCAUACAAAUGAUGCACUAGAGCUACGAGUAAGUGAAACCUCUUAAAGAAAACUAGUGUGUGUGCAUCCAACUUGCUUGCUCACGAAGACCUAAGGCAAUUUUGAGGAAGCCUAUCAUUGGAAUAUACAAGCCAAGUUAUAUAACGAAAAUUUCCCACUAGCUAUAUGGUGGUGACAGAACGAGAGACUCUCAAUCAUGAAGAUCAUGGUGCUUAAUAUGCACAAGUGUGGAAAAAGUGGUAGCAUUGUCCCUUCUCUCUUUUUCUCUCAUUUAUUUUGGUGGGCUCUUUGGCCUCUUUUUUUGGUUGGCUUCUUUGGCCUCUUUUAUUUCCUCACAUGGGACAAUGCUUCAUUAAUGAUGAUCAUAACACUUUCAACUCAAAACUUAGAGCAACAAUGACUCUAUAUGGAAUGCCUUCGGUAGUGUACCGUGGCAAUGAUCUAGCAUGGCAUAGACAUUAAUGGAAACAUUAUGCUAGCUAUCUUGCGAUCAUGCAAUGGAAAUGUAGACGUGGUGGCACAUGUCAUGGUGGUAGUUGCAUGGCAAUAUAUCUCGGAAUGACUUUGAAAGAGCAUGGUAGUUAGGUAUGGUGGAUGUUCUGAUGGAGGCUAAUGGUGGGUUUUGUGCACCGGCGGAAGUUGCACGGCACUAAAGAAGAUAGUGAUGGUGGAAGGUGAAAGUGCAUCUUAACCAUGGACUCAACAUUAGUCAUGAAGAACUCAUAUACUUGUUGCAAAAGUUUUAUUAGUAAUUGAAACAAAGAAUUCAACGCAUACUCCUAGGGGAAGGGUUGGUAGGUAUAAACCAUCGCNNNNNNNNNNUGCAAAGGAUGACAAUCAAUAGACUAAUCAUGCUCAGAUUUCAUCACAUAGCGGUUCACCAUACGUGCAUGCUACGGGAAUCACUAACUUCAACACAAGUAUUUCUAGAUCCAGAACACCUUACUAGCAUGACUUUAAUAUUACCAUAACCACAACUCAAAACUAAUUGAGAUAAAUCAAACUUCUCUAACUAUUCAAUGCACAUGAAGGUGGAAGUUUUCGUAUCCCUUUGGAUAACUACCCGUUUUGAGUCUACUUUCAAAACAUAGAUACACUACCAAGCCACGCACCGCUGUGCUCUAAAAUAUAUAAGUGAUGCACACAGAGCAAAAGUAUCUAGCUCAAAAGAUAUAAGUGAAGCACAUGUGAGCUGAAUUGUCUACCAAAAGAUAUAAGUGAAGCUCGACAAAAUCACAGUGAGUGCAUGUCUCUCUCUCUCUAGGUGUGCAGCAAGGAUGAUUGUGACACAACAAAAAUAAAAGACUCCUACGAUACAAGACACUCCAAGCAAAAACACAUAACAUGUGGUGAAUAAAAAUAUAGCCCCAAGUAACAUUAUCGAUGGAUUGAAGACGAGAGAGGGGAUGCCUUCCCGGGGCAUCCCCAAGCUUAGGCUUUUACGGAAUCCUUGAAUCUCUUGGGGUGCCUUGGGCAUCCCCAAGCUUGAGCUCUUUCCACUCAUUAUCUCUUUCACCAUAAGAACUUCACCCAAAACUUGAAAACUUCACAACACGAAACUUAAACAGAAACUCAUGAUAACAUUAGUAUGAGAAAGCAAACCACCAGUUCCUUAGGUACUGUAGAAAACUUAAAUUAUACAUAGGCUUAUGUUGGGUUACUGUAUUUUCAAUCUUCCAUGGCUAAUACCCCCCAAUACUAUCCAUAGUUUCAUCAAAAUAAGCAACCAACACAACAAAAACAGAAUAUGUUAACAGCAGACCAGUCUGUAGCAAUCUGUAUAUUGCGUAUACCUCUGGUACUUCAAAAAUUCUGAAAACUUACGACAGUCUGAAGAAUUUGCAUAGCAAUCAGCAGCAAAAAGAAUGAACUCAAAAGCUCUUACAGAAAAAAAAAUCUUUUCGUGAGCAGAAAGUUUCUGUCUUUUGCAGCAUGACCAAACGAUCAUUCCCAAGACUAAUCAUAACGGUUUUGCUUGGCACAAACGCAAAAAGAAACACAAAAAACACAAUCAUAACAAAAUUAUGAAAGUGUGGAAAACACAAAACAGAAAGAAAAAGGAUAGAUUCGUUGGGUUGCCUCCCAACAAGCGCUUUUGUUUAACGCCCUUAGUUAGGCGAAAGGUGAUGGAAUCACGUAUAGUCAUCUUUGGUGCUCAAACCAUAAGNNNNNNNNNNCCCUCUUCAUAGAUUCAUAAGGCAAUCUUAUUUUAUUUCUAGGAAAGUGCUCCAUGCCCUUCUUUAAAGGAAAUUGAAAUCUAAUGUUCUCUUCCUUCAUAUCGAUGAUAGCACCAAUAGUCCUUUGGAAAGGUCUACCAAGAAUAGUGGGACAUGAAGGGUUGCAAUCUAUGUCAAGUACAAUGAAAUCCACGGGUACAUAGUUCUUAUUUGCAACAAUAAGAACAUCAUCGAUCCUUCCCAUGGGUUUCUUGACAGUAGAAUCCGCAAGAUGCAAAUUAAGAGAACACUCUUCAAUCUCAUGAAAACCAAGAAUAUCACAUAAAGACUUUGGAAUCGCGGAAACACUAGCACCCAAAUCACACAAAGCAUUGCACUCAUAGUUUUUGAUCUUGAUUUUGAUAGUAGGUUCCCACUCAUCAUGAAGUUUUCUAGGUAUAGAGACUUCUAGUUCGAGCUUCUCUUGAAGAGAUUUCAUCAUAGCAUCUACGAUAUGCGCGGGAAAGGCUUUGCUUUGGCUAUAAGCAUUUGGAGAGUUUGCAAUGGAUUGCAUCAAAGAAAUGCAUUCAAACAAGGAGCAAUUAUCAUAAUUGAAUUCCUUGAAAUCCAAAGUGGGAGUUUCAUUACUAUCCAAAAUUUUGACUUCUUCUACUCCACUCUCCACACCUUUAUCAUCAAGAUGGGUGGACUCCGAAUCAUUGGGGCGUUUUUCAACCCAAGUGGAUUCAUAUCCAGGCCCUACAUAAAUAGGUUUGACACACGAAAACAAAGAUUAAAGAGGAGACACACCAAGCACUUUAAGAUCUUCGUGAUUUGCAUCACUAGAACGCACCCUUUUAAACCAUUCAUGCCUAGCGCGAAUUUGGGUGGUUCUUUCUUUGCUCUCAUUCAUGGAGACACGCAUAGCUUUCAAAGUUUCAUCCAAGUUGACCUUGGGAGGAGCGCAUCUAACUUUCAAAGCAUCAAUAUCACAAGACAUCCUAUCAAUGCUCUUAGCCAAAUCGUCAAUUUUGAGUAGUCUUUCCUCUAUGGACGCAUUGCAAAUCUUUUGAGAGUUAAUGAACUCUUUGAUAUUACUCUCUAAAUAAGAGGGUAAUUUGUUGUGAUUUCCAUAAGUGUUGUUGUAGGAACUGCCAUAAUUGUUAGAGGAGUUACUAGGAAAAGGCCUAGGAACAUAGUUUCCUCUAAAAGCAUUGUUGUUGCCAAAAUUGUUCGUACCAACAAAAUUCACGUCCAAACUAGCGUUGCUACUCUCAAUCAAAGAAGAUAGUGGCAAGUCAUUAGGAUCUACGGUAGCAUUUCUACUAGCAACCAAAUUCAUCAACUCGUCCAUCUUAGCACUGAGCGAGUUAAUUUCUUCUAUAGUGUGCACCUUUUUGCUAGCAGGCGACCUUUCAGUGUGCCACUGAGAGUAGUUGGUCAUGAUAUUGUCUAGGAGUUUUGUAGCGUCUCCUAACGUGAUUUCCAUGAACGUUCCACCUGAGGCGGAGUCCAAGAUAUUGCGAGAAGCGAAAUUCAAGCCAGCGUAAAAGAUUUGUAUAAUCAUCCACAAACUCAAGCCAUGAGCGGGACAAUUUCUAAUCAUAAGCUUCAUCCUCUCCCAAGAUUGUGCAACGUGUUCAUGAUCAAGUUGCUUGAAAUUCAUGAUAUCGUUGCGUAAGGAGAUGAUCUUAGCCGGUGGAAAAUACUUGGAUAUGUAAGCAUCUUUGCAAUUAUCCCAAGAAUCGAUACUAUUUUUAGGCAAAGAAGAAAACCAAGUUUUUGCGCGAUCUCGCAACGAGAAAGGANNNNNNNNNNUUUCAACUUAAUCACGUCAUUAUCCACAUCUCUUUUAUUUUGCAUAUCACAAAGCUCAAUGAAGGUAUUGAGAUGGGAUGCGGCAUCUUCACUAGGAAGGCCAGAGAAUUUCUCUUUCAUAACAAGAUUCAGCAAAGCUGCGUUGAUUUCAUACGAUUCCGCACUAGUCGUGGGAGCAAUCAGAGUACUAAUAAAAUCAUUAUUAUUACUGCUCGAGAAGUCGCAAAGUUUGGUGUUUUCAGCCAUGAUGACUUCAACAAACAAACAAGCACACAAGAAAGCAAGAAAACCGGCAAAGGGAAACGACAAAGUCAAAAAAGGCGAAGGAGAAAGGCAAAUGAAAACGACAAAUGUGAAGUGGGGGAGAGGAAAACGAGAGGCAACUGGCAACAAAAGUAAAUUCAAGAGAUGAGUUUGUGAGACCUACUUGGAUAGAUGUUGAUCUCUCCUCCCUGGCAACGGCGCCAGAAAUACUUCUGAUGUCAGCUGUGCUUCCCUGGUAACGGCGACAGGAAUAGUCGUGUCGACGGCACCAGGAAUCCUUCUGCUGCGGCUACGCCUUAAGGGACUUCCUAGGCAAAUAUGCAAAGGAUUUCCCCCGUGGCCUUGGAGCCUUGCGUUGGUGUUCCCUCGAAGCAGAAAGGGUGAUGUAGCAUAGCGGUGGUAAGUAUUUCCCUCAGUUUGAGAACCAAGAUAUCGAUCCAGUGGAGGAGUAUCACAAGAUCCUGCACAAACACAGAAAACUUGCUCCCAAUGCUAUGAAGGGUUGUCAAUCCCUUAUAGAUUGUUCGCCAAGUGAGAACUGAAAGCAACAAAGUAACAAAGAAAAGUAAAAGCGGAGGUGUAAACGAUAGAUGUGAAUAGACCCGGGGGCCGUAGUGUUUACUAGUGGCUUCUCUCAUGAAAGAAAGUAGACGGUAGGUGAACAAAUUACUGUCGAGCAAUUGAUAGAACCGCGCAAAGUCGUGAUGUCAUCUAUGGCAAUGAUUAUAUCUAUAGCCAUCACGUCCAAAACAAGUAGACCGAUACUGUCUGCAUCUACUACUAUUACUCCACACGUCAACCGCUAUCCAGCAUGCAUCUAGUGUAUUAAGUCCAAAAGAACAGAGUAAUGCCUUAAGCAAGAUGACAUGAUGUAGAUGGACAAUCUCAUAUCAACGACAGAGCCCAGCUUGUUACCCUUGAUGGCAACGACUUAAUGUGUGCCUUGCUGCCCCUACUGUCACUGGGAAAGGUCACCACAUGGUAGAGACCAAAACCAAGCACUUCUCCCAUUGCAAGAAUCAUAGAUCUAGUUGGCNNNNNNNNNNNNNNNNNNNNNNNNNNNNNNNNNNNNNNNNNNNNNNNNNNNNNNNNNNNNNNNNNNNNNNNNNNNNNNNNNNNNNNNNNNNNNNNNNNNNUACCCCAGCAACCACAACAACCAUUCCCCCAGCAACCACAACAACCUUUUCCUCAGCCCCAACAACCAUUCCCUUGGCAACCACAACAACCAUUUCUCCAGCCCCUACAACUAUUUCCCUAGCAAGCACAACAACCAUUACCCUUGCAACCACAACUACCAUUUCCGCAGCCCCAACAACCAAUUGGACAGCAACCACAACAACCAUUCCUGCGGCAACCACAACAAAUAAUUCCCCAGCAACCACAACAACCAUUCCCCCUGCAGCCGCAACAACCAUUCCCCGAACAACCACAACAAACACUUCCCCAACAACCACAACAAAUAAUUUCCCAGCAACCACAACAACCAUUCCCCAGCAACCUCAACAACCAUUCCUUCUGCAGCCACACCAACCUCAGCAACCUUAUGCACAACAAGACAUCUAGAGUGAUUUAGCCCUCUUGGGCUAAUGAAGCAAAAAGUUGUAAUACUAGAUGGGUGUAUCAUCGUUUUUUAGUCAAUGAGUGUUCAGUGUAAUGAUGAUAAAUAAAGUGAUGUGCACCAUCAUGUGUAAUCCCGACCUAUACUAGNNNNNNNNNNNNNNNNNNNNNNNNNNNNNNNNNNNNNNNNNNNNNNNNNNNNNNNNNNNNNNNNNNNNNNNNNNNNNNNNNNNNNNNNNNNNNNNNNNNNAUUCUGAGGUUGCCCUCCUGCUAGAUAGAAUUUCCCCCAUCAGAUAGAAUUUCCCCCAUCAGACCAUGACGGAUCAAGUAACAUAAACCACGUGUCUUCCAAUGCCAUAGAUCAAUGGAUGGAGACAAACUUCAUAACACCUAGAAUAAAUGUGUGUAAUAUAGAUUAGUAUAGCAAAAAUGGAUUAAAGCCAGCAGUUAUUAUAAAGUCCUACCAUAUGGAUGGUUAUUGAAUACUCUAAUUAGUAUUGUAAUAGAAUAGAUAGAUGGACAAAUGAACAAAUAAAACAACACAAAAUUUUGAAGAUACAUACCUCAGUUUAGUCUGUGGAGAAGCGGCUAUGAAAUCCAAAGUUNNNNNNNNNNUGAUGGGUGGAAGCAUCCAGCUACACAACACAAUUUGUAAAUACUAGUUGAGCAACACACGAAUCUGAUUGGAAAAAUAAGAGAUGACAAAAACACUGGUUGCAUCUGAGGAGGAACUCUACACAGGCAGAGGCCACGGACAGACACAUGCAACUUCUAAACCUUGCAGCCGUUACACAAAUCCUACCUUGCAGUUGUGACACAGAUCUAUCGAGGACAAAUUCUGAGGUUGCCCUCCUGCUAGAUAGAAUUUCCCCCAUCAGACCAUGACGGAUCAAGUAACAUAAACCNNNNNNNNNNNNNNNNNNNNNNNNNNNNNNNNNNNNNNNNNNNNNNNNNNNNNNNNNNNNNNNNNNNNNNNNNNNNNNNNNNNNNNNNNNNNNNNNNNNNGGCUUUCCUGCCUUGGCCCUCAAGUCCCCUCAUCUUCUUCCGUUCUGGAAAAAAUUAUUUUGGAGAUUUUAUUCCGUUUGGACUCCGUUCCAAAAUCAGAUAUGAAAAGAGUCAAAAACACAGAAAAAACAGGAACUGGCACUUGGCACUGAUUUAAUAAGUUAGUCCCAAAAAAGAUAUAAAAGGUACAUAAAACAUCCAAAGUUGACAAGAUAACAUCAUGAAACCAUCAAAAAUUAUAGAUACGUUUGAGACGUAUCAAGCAUUCCCAAGCUUAACUCCUACUCGUCCUCGAGUAGGGAAGUGAUAAAGAAUGAAUUUUUGAUGCUUUCNNNNNNNNNNGUUAUGUGACGUGAAAGUUCAGAUCCAUUAGAUUCUAAACAAUAGUUUGCUAUUAACGUGGAAACAAUAAUACUUCAAGCAAACUAGCACGGUAAUCAUGAACUUUCAAAAUAGCAAGGCCAAAAUAAAGUUAAACCUACAAAAACAUAUAGUCUGGCUAUGCUCUAUCAUCAUUGCACAACGAAUUUAAAUCAUGCACAACCCCGGUAUUGGCCAAGCAAUACAUGAGCGUGAGCCAUGGUUUUAGAACUAUAAGUGGUGUGGAGUGUGGUGGAGGUUGCAAGAAAAACAAGGAAAAGAUGGUCACAUUAACUAGGCAUAUCAAUGAGCUGUGGAGAUGAUCAUCAAUAGAUAUCAAUGUGAAUGAGUAGGGAUUGCUAUACAAAUGAUGCACUAGAGCUAAGAGUAUGUGAAAGCUCUUAAAGAAAACUAGUGGGUGUGCAUCCAACUUGCUUGCUCACGAAGCCCUAAAGCAAAUUUGAGGAAGCCUAUCAUUGGAAUAUACAAGCCAAGUUAUAUAAUGAAAAUUUCCCACUAGCUAUAUGGUGGUGACAAAAUGAGAGACUCUCAAUCAUGAAGAUCAUGGUGCUUAAUAAGCACAAGUGUGGAAGGAUAGUAGCAUUGUCCCUUCUCUCUUUUUCUCUCAUAUUUUUUUGGUGGGCUCUUGGGCCUCUUUUUUUAAAUUUUGGUGGGCAUCUUUGGCCUCUUUUAUUUCCUCACAUGGGAAAAUGCUCCAUCAAUUAUGAUCAUUACACUUACAACUCAAAACUUAGAACAACGAUGACUCUAUAUGGAAUGCCUUCGGUAGUGUACCGUGGCAAUGAUCUANNNNNNNNNNCAUGCUAGCUAUCUUACGAUCAUGCAAUGGCAAUGUAGACGUGGUGGUACAUGUCAUGGUGGUAGUUGCAUGGCAACAUAUCUCGGAAUGACUUUGAAAAAGCCAUAGUAGGUAGGUAUGGUGGCUGUUUUGAGGGAGGCUAAUGGUGGGUUUUGUGCACCGGCGAAAGUUGCACGGCACUAAGAAGAUAAUGAUGGUGGAAGGUGAAAGUGCAUCUAAACCAUGGACUCAACAUUAAUCAUGAAGAACUCAUAUACUUGUUGCAAAAGUGUUAGUAGUAAUCGAAACAAAGCAUUCAACGCAUACUCCUAGGGGAAGGGUUGGUAGGUAUAAACCAUCGCGCGAUCCCGACCGCCACACAAAGGAUGACAAUCAAUAGACUAAUCAUGCUCAGACUUCAUCACAUUGCGGUUCACCAUACGUGCAUGCUACGGGAAUCACUAACUUCAACACAAGUAUUUCUAGAUCCACAACACCUUACUAGCAGAACUUCAAUAUUGCCACAACCACAACUCAAAAUUGAUUGAGAUGAAUCAAACUUCUCUAACUAUUCAAUGCACAUGAAGGUGGAAGUUUUCAUAUCCCUUUGGAUAACUAUCCCUUUUGAGACUACUUUCAAAGCAUAGAUCAACUACCAAGCCACGCACCGUCGUGCUCUAAAAGAUAUAAGUGAAGCACAUAGAGAAAAAUCAACUAGCUCAAAAGAUAUAAGUGAAGCACAUGUGAGCUGAUUUGUCUACCAAUGGAUAUAAGUGAAGCUCGACAAAAUCACGGUGAGUGCAUGUCUCUCUCUCUAGGUGUGCAGAAAGGAUGAUUGUGACACAACAAAAAUAAAAGACUCCUACGAUACAAGAUGCUCCAAGAAAAACACAUAACAUGUGGUGAAUAAAAAUAUAGCCCCAAGUAACGUUACCGAUGGAUUGAAGACGAAAGAGGGGAUGCCUUCCCGGGGCAUCCCCAAUCUUAGGCUUUUACGGCAUCCUUGAAUCAUCUUGGGGUGCCUUGGGCAUCCCCAAGCUUGAGCUCUUGCCACUCUUUAUCUUUUUGUCCAUAAGAACUUCACCCAAAACUUGAAAACUUCACAACACGAAACAUAAACAGAAACUCGUGAUAACAUUAGUAUAAGAAAGCAAACCACCACUUCCUUCGGUAAUGUAGCAAACAUAAUUUCUACUUAUGUUGAUGUUGGGUUACUAUAUUUUCAAUCUUCUAAGGCUAAUACCCACCGAUACUAUCCAUAGUUUCAUCAAAAUAAGCAACCAACUCAACAAAAACAGAAUCUGUUAACAGCAAACCAGUCUGUAGCAAUUUGUAUACUCCGUAUACUUCUGGUAAUUCCAAAAUUCUGAAAAAUUACGAAAGUCUGAAGAAUUUGCGUAGAAAUCAGAAGCAAAAAAAAUUAACUCAAAAUAUCUUACAUAAAAAAAUGAAAAUUCUUUUCGUGAGCAGAAAGUUUCUGUCUUUUCUAGCAUGACCAAACGAUCAUCCCCAAGACUGAUCAUAACGGUUUUGCUUGGCACAAACGCAAAAAGAAACACAAAAAACACAAUCAUAACAAAAUUAUGAAAGUGUGGAAAACACAAAACAGAAAGAAAAAGGAUAGAUUCGUUGGGUUGCCUCCCAACAAGCACUAUUGUUUAACGCCCUUAGCUAGUCAAAAGGUGAUGGAAUCACGUAUAGUCAUCUUUGGUGCUCAAACCAUAAGUAGUGUGAUCAUUUAUCAUCUUAAGAUCUUCAUAUUUAUUGGAUGACUCACCACUAGCUUUAGGAACAAAAACAGUCUUGAUGGUCUUUUUGAGAGUGAGAUUUGGAGUAUUUUGCACAGCGGCAAAAGCGGAACCCAAGUUGGUUACGACAUCCUCUAGUUUACCAAUUCUAGAGGAAUCAUUAACUAUGGGUUCCUUCUCCCUUAAAUUUUUCAAGAACAUUCCCACUUUGGAUCCAUACUGAGUAAUUUGAUUGUGGAACUUUCUAUCCAAACUCUCAAUAAGUUCAACUGUAGCAAUUUUUUUAUCAAUAGCGUCAAGCCUUUUCAUCACGUGUUCCAAGGUCAAGGUAGUUUAAUUAAUCAUGAGCGGGGGUGAGCCAACCAAAUUCAUGAUAGCUCCAUAAGAGUCAAAGGUAUGGCUCCCCAAAAAAUUCCCGCCUACGAUGGUAUCAAGUAUAUACCUAUUCCAAGGAGAGAUUCCAACAUAAAAACUGCGAAGAAGAAUGGUAGUGGAUUGCUUACGAGUAGAUCUACUUUGAGCAUUGCAAAUCCGGUACCAAGCGUCCUUUAAAUUUUCUUCCUCAUUUUGCCUGAAAUUGAGAACUUCGUUCUCAGGGGUAUCGUUUGGAGUAGUGGGUCUAGCCAUUGAUGGACUAUCCCACACACAAACGAGCAGAAAGUAAGCGAGUGAAGCGAGCAAAAGAGAACGGCAAAGGAAGACGGCAAAAAGUCAAAAGGAAAUGGCAAAAGGGGAAAGACAAAAGAAAACGGCAAAUGUGAAGUGGGGGAGAGGAAAACGAGAGGCAACUGGCAAAAAAGGUAAAUACAAGAGAUGAUUUUGUGAGACCUACUUGGAUAGACUCUCCUUCCCCGGCAACAGCGCCAGAAAUACUUCUACUACUGCAAAAAAAGACCUUCCAACGGCGCCAGAAACAAGCGUGCUGACAGGAAACUAUUCUUGUCUUGAUACUCCUGAGCAACGGCACCAGGAAUCCUUCUGCUACGGCUACGCCUUUAGGGACUUCCUUGGCAAAUAUGCAAAGGAUUCCCCCGUGGCCUUGGAGCCUUGCGUUGGUGUUCCCUCGAAGCGGAAAGGGUGAUGUAGCAGAGCGGUGGUAAGUAUUUCCCUCAGUUUUGAGAACCAAGGUAUCUAUCCAGUGAAGGAUUGUCACAAGUACCUGCACAAACACAAAGAGCUUGCACCCAACGCUAUGAAGGGGUUGUCAAUCCCUUAUAGAUUGUUUGCCAAGUGAGAACUGAAAGCAAAAAAGAACCAAAGCAAAGUAAAAGCAAAAUUGGAAACGAUAGGUGUGCAUAGACCCGGGGGCCGUAGUGUUUAUGAAAGCAAGUAGACGGUGGAUGAACGAAUUACUGUCGAGCAAUUGAUAGAACCGCGCAAAGUCGUGACGUUAUCUAUGGCAAUGAUUAUAUCUAUAGGCAUCACAUCCAAAACAAGUAGACCGAUACUUUUUGCAUCUACUACUAUUACUCCACACGUCGACCGCUAUCCAGCAUGCAUCUAGUGUAUUAAGUUCAUGAGAAUAGAGUAACCCCUUAAGCGAGAUGACAUGAUGUAGAUGGACAAUCUCAUAUCUACAAUAAAAGCCCAUCUUGUUACCCUUGAUGGCAACAACACGAUGUGUGCCUUGCUGCCCCUUCUGUCACGGGAAAGUUCACCACACGGUAUGAACCCAAAACCAAGCACUUCUCCCAUUGCAAGAAUCAUAGAUCUAGUUGGCCAAACAAAACCCAAGACUUGGAGAGACUUACGAGGAUAUCAAAUCAUGCAUAUAAGAAAACAGUAAAGACUCAAAUAUAUAUCAUAGAUAAUCUGAUCACAAAUCCACAGUUCAUCGGAUCUCGACGAACAUACCGCCAAACAGGAUUACAUCGGACAGAUCUCCAUGAAGAUCAUGGAGAACUUUGUAUUGAAGAUCCAAGAGAGAGAAGAAGCCAUCUAGCUACUAACUACGGACCCGUAGGUCUGAAGUGAACUACUCACGAGUCAUUGAAAGAGCGAUGAUGUUGAUGUAGAGCCCUCCAACUCCAAAGUCCCCUCCGGCAGGGCACCGGGAAGGGUCUNNNNNNNNNNCUCGCGGACACGGAAGCUUGCGGCGGCGGAAAAGUGUGUUCGUGGAUUCUCCUAUUUUUUCUGUAUUUUAGGGAAUAUAUAGGCGAAGGAGCUAGGUCAGGGGGCGCCAGGGAGGCCACAAGCCUGGUAGCCGCCGCCCCCCUGGUGGCGGCUACAGGGCUUGUGGGUCCCCUGUGGCUCUCCUGCCUUGGCCCUCAAGUCCCCUGAUCUUCUUCCGUUCUGGAAAAUUUUAUUUCGGAGAUUUUAUUCCGUUUGGACUCUGUUCCAAAAUCAGAUAUGAAAAGAGUUAAAAAACAGAAAAAACAGGAACUGGCACUUGGCACUGAAUUAAUAAGUUAGUCCCAAAAAAGAUAUAAAAGGUACAUAAAACAUCCAAAGCUGACAAGAUAACAUCAUGAAACCAUCAAAAAUUAUAGAUACAUUUGAGACGUAUCAGUGGCCGCCGCUCCGUGUCGUAGAUCACAAUGGAAACUUCUCUUUGAUUUUUUGCUAAAUAUGCGAAUUUAUAGGACUAGAGAUAGGGUUGGGCGAGCCUCGUGGAGCCCACCACACAACAGGGUGCGACCUAGGGGGCGGCCUCACCAUGUUGCCUCGUGGCCAUGAGGAACACACCCCCCUCUGGCGCGUCUUUGCUUCAUAAUUCAUUAUAAUUGCUAGAAAAAAUUCACAAUGUUUUUUGUCCAAUUCCAAGAACUAUUAUUGAUGCACAAAAAUAACACCAAGGUAGUUCUGCUGAAAACAGCAUCAGUGCGGGUUAGUUUCAUUUAAAUCAUGCAAAUUAGAGUCCAAAACAUGAGCAAAAGUGUUUAUACAAGUAGAUACGUUGGAGAAGUAUCAGCCAUUGACAAGUAGGAACACCCGUGUACUGUCAGAAUGCUUUGAUAAUUGUUACGUGAUGUGGACGGCUAGGCUAAGGCACUACAUAUGUAGGGUGAAGAUGGUUCACAUAUGAAAUCAUGGCCCUCGGGCCCUAGUGGCAAGCAUUAAGCAUGGUAAGGUCAUAGGAACACUAUCACAGAACAUAGUGGAUACUAGGGAUCAAGAAAUAUCAAAAUAACUCGAUAACAUGACAAAUAUCGUCCAAUCCCAUCACCGUCCAGCUAGCAUACAAAGUAAGUACUCACUCCCGGUGGUGAGCAUUACGAUGGUCUUGAUGGAGAAGGAUUGGUGAUGACGACGGCAAUUAAUCUCCCUCUUCAGACCCUAAACGGACUUCAGAUCAUCCCCCUUGAAGAACAAUAGGAGCUGGCAGCGGCUCUGUCUCGUAGAACACAAUGAAAACUUCUCUGCUACUUUUCACCGGAAAUAGGAAUUUAUAGGAUUGGAAUUAGGGUAUAUGGAGCCACGAGGUGGUCACAAGCCAAGAGGGCACGCCUGGGGGGGGGGGGGGGGNNNNNNNNNNNNNNNNNNNNNNNNNNNNNNNNNNNNNNNNNNNNNNNNNNNNNNNNNNNNNNNNNNNNNNNNNNNNNNNNNNNNNNNNNNNNNNNNNNNNCGAAAGCAAAGUGUUUGUUUCUAGAAACGGAUCCUUUCUCGAGGAAAGGUUUCUCUCGAAAGAAUUGAGUGGGAGGGUGGUAGAACUUGAUGAGGUUAUUGAACCAUCACUUCAACCAGUGUGUAGCAGGGCGCAGGAAGUUGUUCCCGUGGCGCCUACACCAAUUGAAGUGAAAGCUAAUGAUGGUGAUCAUCGAGCAUCGGAUCAAGUUACUACAAACCUCUUAGGUUGACAAGGUCGCGUACUACUGCAGAGUGGUACGGUAACCCUGUCUUGGAGGUCAUGUUGUUGAGCAACAGUGAACCUACGAGUUAUGGAGAAAGCAAUGGUGGGCCCCGAUUCUGAAAAAUGGCUGGAAGCCAUGAAAUCCGAGAGAGGAUCCAUGUAUGAAAACAAAGUGUAGACUUUGGAAGAACUACUUGAUGGUCAUAGGACUAGUGAGUAAAGAUGGAUCAUUAAAAGGAAGACAGAUGAUGAUAGUGAUAAGUCACUAUUAAGAAAAGCUCGACUUGUCGCAAAGAUGUUUCUGACAAGAUCAAACAGUUGACUAUGAUGAGACUUUCUCACUCGUAGCGAUGCUGAAAGUCUGUUAGAAUUAUGUUAGUAGUUGCUGCAUUAUUUAUGAAAUAUUGCACAUAGGAUGUCAAAACAUUGUUUCCUCGACGGUUUCCUUGAGCAAACAUUGUAUGUGAUACAACCAGAAGGUUUUGUCGAUCCUAAAGAUACUAGCAAGUAUGCAAGCUCCAGUGAUCCUUCAAUGGACUGGUGCAAGCAUCUCGGAGUUAGAAUAUACACUUUGAUGAGAUGAUCAAAGAUUUUGGGUGUGUACAAGGUUUAUGAGAAACUUGUAUUUCCAAAGAAGUGAGUGGGAGCACUAUAGAAUUUCUGAUAGGAAUAUGUGGUUGACAUAUUGUGGAUCAGAAGUAAUGUAGAAUUUCUGUAAACCAUACAAGGUUGUUUGAAAGAAGUUUUCAAAGGAGUACCUGGAUUACGCUACUUGAACGUUGAGCAUCUAUGGAGAUAGAUCGAAAGCGCUUAAUAGAAGUUUCAACAAGAUGCAUGCCUUGACAAGUUUUUGAAAGAGUUCAAAAUAGAUCAACAAAGAAGGACUUCUUGGUUGCGUUAUGAGGUGUGAAUUUGAGUAAGACUCAAAAGCCGACCCCGGCAGAAUAAAGAGAAUAGACGAAGGUCGUCUUCUAUGCCUUGGCCGUAGAAUCUGAAGUAUGCCAUGCUGGGUACCGUACCUGAUGUGUGCCUUGACUCAAAGUCUGUUGAGAGGUAGAGAGAGUGAUCCAUGAUUGAAUCACUAGCAGCGGUCAAAAUUUAUCCUNNNNNNNNNNAGCCGUAGAAUCUAAAGUAUGCCAUGCUGUGUACCGCACCUGAUGUGUGCCUUGACUCAAAGUAUGUUGAGAGGUACAGAGAGUGAUCCAUGAUUGAAUCACUAGCAGCGGUCAAAAUUUAUCCUUAGUAACUGAUGGACUAAGGAAUUUUUCUCGAUUAUGGAGAGGUUAAAGAGUUCGUCGUAAAGGGUUACGUCGAUGCAAGCUUUGACACUAAUCCGAAUAACUAUGAGUAGUGAAACGGAUUCGUAUAGUAGAGUAGAUAUUUGGAGUAUUUCCAAAUAGCACAUAGUAGCAGCAUCUAUAAGAUGACAUAAAGAUUUGUAAAGAACACACGGAUCUGAAAGUUUCAGAACCGUUGACUAAAACCUCUCUCACGAGCAAGACGUGAUCAGACCCCAUAACUAUAUGGGUGUUGGAUUCGUUGGAAUCACAUGGUGAUGUGAACUACAUUAUUGACUCUAGUGCAAGUGGGAGACUGUUGGAAAUAUGCCCUAGAGGCAAUAAGAAAUUAGUUAUUAUUAUAUUUCUUUGUUCAUGAUAAUCGUUUAUUAUCCAUGCUAUAAUUGUAUUGAUUGGAANNNNNNNNNNNNNNNNNNNNNNNNNNNNNNNNNNNNNNNNNNNNNNNNNNNNNNNNNNNNNNNNNNNNNNNNNNNNNNNNNNNNNNNNNNNNNNNNNNNNAAAUGGUUGUUGUGGUUGUUGGGGGAAUGGUUGUGGUUGUAGAGGGAAUGAUUGUUGGGGAAUUAUUUGUUCUGAUUCCUGGGGAAAUGGUUGUUGCGGUUGUAGGGGGGAUGCUUGUUGGGGUCACUGCUGGGGGACUAGUUGGGGUUGGGGAAAUGGCUGUUGAGGUUGCAGAGGCUAUGAUUGUUGGGGUUGCUCGAAAAUUAUUUGUUGUGGUUGUUGGGGAAAUGGUUGUUGUGGUUGUUUGGGGAAUGGUUGUUGUGGUUGCAGAGGGAAUGGUUGUUGUGGUUGCUGGGGAAUUAUUUGUUGCGGUUGCCGCGAGACUGGUUGUUGUGGUUGCUGCACAAUUGGUUGUUGGGGCUGCGGAAAUGGUUGUUGUGGUUGCCAGGGGAAUGGUUGUUGUGGUUGCUGGGGAAAUGGUUGUUCAGGUUGGGGAAAUGGUUGUUGUGGUUGCUGGGGAAAUGGUUGUUGGGGCUGAGGAAAAGGUUCUUGCGGUUGCUGGGGAAAUGGUUGUUGUGGUUGCUGGGGUAUUAUUUGUUGUGGUUGCUGGGUGAAUGGUUCUUGUGGUUGGUAGGGAAUUGGUUGUUGGGGUUGGGGCAAUGGUUGUUGUGGUUGCGAGGGGAAUGGUUGUUGGGUCUGAGGAAAAGGUUGUUGUGGUUGCUGGGGGAAUGGUUGUUGUGGUUGCUCGGGAAUUAUUUGUUGUGGUUGCUGGGGGAAUGGUUGUUGUGGUUGCUGGGGAAUUGGUUCUUGGGGCUGGGGAAAUGGUUGUUGUGGUUGCCACGGGAAUGGUUGUUGGGGCCGAGGAAGAGGUUGUUGUGGUUGUUGGGGGAAUGGUUGUUGUGGUUGUAGGGGGGUUGGUAUUUGAUAUUGGGGAAACAAUUCCUCUGGUAGAUAGGGGAAAUAUUGUUGGGGUGUGGGAAAUGGUUGCUGCACUGGAAAUGGUUGUUGCNN